rnacentral:rRNA from 1 species
AAACUGCGAAUACCGGAGAAUGUUAUCACGGGAGACACACGGCGGGUGCUAACGUCCGUCGUGAAGAGGGAAACAACCCAGACCGCCAGCUAAGGUCCCAAAGUCAUGGUUAAGUGGGAAACGAUGUGGGAAGGCCCAGACAGCCAGGAUGUUGGCUUAGAAGCAGCCAUCAUUUAAAGAAAGCGUAAUAGCUCACUGGUCGAGUCGGCCUGCGCGGAAGAUGUAACGGGGCUAAACCAUGCACCGAAGCUGCGGCAGCGACGCUUAUGCGUUGUUGGGUAGGGGAGCGUUCUGUAAGCCUGCGAAGGUGUGCUGUGAGGCAUGCUGGAGGUAUCAGAAGUGCGAAUGCUGACAUAAGUAACGAUAAAGCGGGUGAAAAGCCCGCUCGCCGGAAGACCAAGGGUUCCUGUCCAACGUUAAUCGGGGCAGGGUGAGUCGACCCCUAAGGCGAGGCCGAAAGGCGUAGUCGAUGGGAAACAGGUUAAUAUUCCUGUACUUGGUGUUACUGCGAAGGGGGGACGGAGAAGGCUAUGUUGGCCGGGCGACGGUUGUCCCGGUUUAAGCGUGUAGGCUGGUUUUCCAGGCAAAUCCGGAAAAUCAAGGCUGAGGCGUGAUGACGAGGCACUACGGUGCUGAAGCAACAAAUGCCCUGCUUCCAGGAAAAGCCUCUAAGCAUCAGGUAACAUCAAAUCGUACCCCAAACCGACACAGGUGGUCAGGUAGAGAAUACCAAGGCGCUUGAGAGAACUCGGGUGAAGGAACUAGGCAAAAUGGUGCCGUAACUUCGGGAGAAGGCACGCUGAUAUGUAGGUGAAGUGAUUUACUC